rnacentral:misc_RNA from 1 species
GAUGAAGAACGUAGCGAAAUGCGAUAAGUAAUGCGAAUUGCAGAAUUCCAGUGAGUCAUCGAAUCUUUGAACGCACAUUGCGCCCUUUGGUAUUCCGAAGGGCAUGCCUGUUCGAGCGUCAUUAUCACCCCUCAAGCCCUCGGCUUGGUGUUGGAAGGUUUGGUGGAGGCCCCCUCGGGGGCUCCUGCCCCUCCCAAAGACAAUGACGGCGGCCUCGUUGGACCCCCGGUACACUGAGUUCUUCACGGGACACGUAUCGGACACAUGGGUUUACGGGACACGGUCUGCCUCCCCUCAGGGAGAAUCUUUCUAAGGUUGACCUCGGAUCAGGUAGGGAUACCCGCUGAACUUAAGCAUAUCAAAAGCGGAGGA